rnacentral:sRNA from 1 species
AAAUAAUACAGUUAGUCAAUCUUCAUCGGACGCCAUAAAUUCUGGCACUGAGGGUGGAGCAUUGCAAAAUGAUUAUGUGUAUGAUGAAUCUUCUGGGUACUAUUAUAGCAGCAGUUUGGGCUAUUAUUAUGAUCCAAAUACCGGGCUUUAUUGCUCUGCAGCAUCAGGACAAUGUAGAAUAAGGAUUGGAUACUGUCAAAGACUUGGAGCGCAUCAUUUGGCUGUCAGCAUCGAGAAGAGAACGCCCAUCCAACAGCAAGCCAGGACGCUCGUCCAGCGCGCAGCGCAGAGGACGCUCGGCCAGCGCUCAGAGAAGGCUCAUCCAGCGCGCAGAGGACGCUCGUCCAGAAAGUGGACGCUCGUCCAGAGAGCGGAGAUCGCUCGCCCAGCUAGCGGAGAACGCUCG